rnacentral:lncRNA from 1 species
CUGGAUGCAGAGCCAGGCACAGAGCCAAGGCGCGUCUGACCCCAGUCCAGCGGGAUCUCCUGCAAGCCGCAGUGUUUCCAGAGGCGCACUUCAGUGUGUGGAGUGAAGGGAGAGUCUCCGGACAUGAGAAGAGCUGCUCUGAGCAGUGUGGCGGCCGUUUUUGUUUCCUUUCUCUUUCUCCUCCUGGGGCUAGGCAGACACCGGGCACAAAGAAGGAAACAGGCCUUCUGUGAGUGCAGCAGCAAUCAAUAAAGAAGCAGCCCAGAGCGGCCAUCCCUCUUCUGUCUGCUGUGACGCUCCGGCCCAGGUGUCCCUGGGGCUGCCCUCCCCAGGGCCUGUGUGUUGCAUAUAUGGGGUGGGGUGAGGGCAGCUGGAAUUGAGGUGGGGACCCUGCAAUUGUGAGGGGCUGCGUGGCAGAGGUGGGCGGCUCUCGCAGGCCUCUUCCUGGACACUUGCACCCCCUCAUCCUGCUCUCUUUUUCUUCCUGCACUUACAUCAUCUCAUUUGUUUAUUUUCUCAUUGUCCGUCUCCCUCUACAGGAGCACCAGAGGAGGGGGACUUCAUCUGACUUGUUCAGCACUGUCUCCCAGGCCCUGGCACAGAGGGAGCACUCGAUACACACCGAUGGGCUGAAGGUGUGAAUGGAUCUGGGGACUAGAGUGAUGGUUAUUUGGCAGACAGCAUGCCCCGCCUGGGCAGUAGCCGUGAAGACUCUUCUUUUCCUCUCCUCGCCUGCACUCUUUAGGAUUGAACAGCAUUGGUUCAAUGCAUAUUCUGGGAGCACAGAGAAAAAAGGGAUCAAGUUCCACCAUUAUGCAAAAGGGACUCCUGUAAGCCAGACCCUGAGCCGUUGUCAAAACACAGCUUAAUCCCCAUUCCCUGGGCCCGAGACCCUGCAGCCCCCACGCUGCCCGGCUUCCGGUCUUACCUGGGGCAACCUGACCAACAAGAACGCGGAAGGCCAGGAGCCAAAAACAGAGACUCCUGAUGGGUAACAGAAGGAAAAGAUGGAAGGAGCUGGAUUUCUGGUCCUGGAUGGAAGGAGCUGGAUUUCUGACCCUGGAUGGAAGGCGCUGGAUUUCUGACCCUGGAUGGAAGGCGCUGGAUUUCUGGCCCUGGAUGGAAGGAGCUGGAUUUCUGGUCCUGGAUGGAAGGAGCUGGAUUUCUGACCCUGGAUGGAAGGCGCUGGAUUUCUGACCCUGGAUGGAAGGCGCUGGAUUUCUGACCCUGGAUGGAAGGAGCUGGAUUUCUGGCCCUGGAUGGAAGGAGCUGGAUUUUUGGCCCUGGCUUGACUGAGUGUGGUGUCAGGCCCUGAGCUGGGUGAGGGGAGGAAGAGCCGGUAUGGGAAGAUGUUGAGUUAUGUAGACAAGUGAGUGUAAGGGGUGCCCUCAUUCGCCAUCACAGUGGCUGAUGUGUCCUCUGCAUGCUGGUCUCUCCCUCCAGUCAUCAGUGAAGGCUGACGGAGGGGAGGGGCUGCGUGGGAUUUCCACAGUCUCCCCUCACUGGAGGGUCCAGGGUCUGGCAUAGAUAAUCAGUCACUGUUUUGGAAUAAAUGAAUAAACAGAAGAGUGUUGCUAUGGACGGAACACAUUCCCUGCUUGCAUAAAUAUAUAAAAGGAUAUUUAAGGAGGUAAUUAGGCUAAAUUAGGUCAUAGGACUGGUGGCCUAAUAGUUAGACGAAGAGAAAUCAGAGCUCUGGGACAUGGCGAGAAGGCGUGACGCACAAACCAAGAAGCGUCCCUCCCGGGAACCGAAUCAGCCUUCAUCUUCAUCUUGAGCUUCCAGCCUCCAGAACCAUGAGAAAUAAACUUGCAUUUACCCAGCCUGUGGCACAUUGUUGUGGCAGCUGGUUAGACUUAUACAAGUGUUGUCUGUAUUCUUGGU